CGCCGAGUGAGUAGAGCUAAGGCUGGAGGAGGAGGGGCUUGCCUGCAGCGAGAAAGUUGUUGAGAAGCACUGACCUGCAUGCGGUAGAAGUCCUCCGGGUGCUCCACCACCAUGCCAUCAGCCAGAAUCAGCAGGCUGCCAACGUUCCCAGUCUCACUGGAGGUGUGAGAGGAGAGAGAGGAGGAGGAGUUGCGCACAGGAGUCAGAACAGCUAUGGGACUGGGAGGAGAGAACCAAGGACGGGUGGUGGGAAAGAAGAGGCGAGGGGUAGAAGUAGAGGGGUGGAGGGAGAGGAGAAGGAGGUAAAGUAGGGAGGACAGGAAGGAGUGCAAAGAGGAGAAGGGACGGGGUGGAAGCACAGGGAGGAGCGCGCGAGGAGCCAUGCAGAGUACAACCGAAAACAGGAAGAAGGCAAAAAAAACAACCGAAACAUGCAUGAAGUGAUUUGGUGGAAAUGAGAGAUGCAGGAGUUUGCAGCCAAGGCCAUGCAAGAAGCCAGAUGUGGUGUGGGGUAAUGGGAAAGAAAAGACAGAGAGAGAGAGAGGAAGGAAGAAAAAGGUAGAACUUCAGAAAGCGUGGUGUGUGCGGUCGACUGCAGAAGCUUCACAAAUGCAGUGAGGAAAUAAGCAAAGAUCGUUAAUGAGACACUCAGCAGAUGAAACCGGGGAUCAGAUUGUGAAGAGAGAGGACGGUAAGAAGAAGAUGUGUGUGAUGAGGAUGUGACGUCAUGUGAGUGUGGACGGAUGACGCUCCACAAAGACAAAACAGAACAAUCUCAAAGUCUCACUGGAGGAUGAAGUGGACGUGAAAACGUGUGUGUAUGUGUGCUGCAGACCUGUGGCGGUGCAUGAGUUUGAAGCUCUCGGGACUCAGCGGGCUGUGAGAGGCCAGGAUCCCUCGGGGAGUGUUGGCUCCUGAACCAGCCUUUUCUAAACCGGGCAGACCCUGCAACGCCACGUAGAAACACUGCUCUGAAUAUUCACACUGCCCUCGCAUAUGUGCACGUGUGUUUGAAAGCAAGAGUUCAAAACCAACGAGACUCAGAAUUAAAAAAGAAAAGUGCUUGAAGCUGCUGUAUGUUGUCGGAGAGCAAAAAUAUCCCCAUUAAUUAAAUUAGAAUGUAAAAAGGUCAAACGUUCACAGUUGAAAGAGUUCAGAUUAUGAGCAGUGACACACUUAUAUUAGCUAGAAGCACGAUAACAUCCUCUUUGGGGAAGCUACUAAUUAGCUUUCCUCCAUGUGAUGAUCCAUGCUGCCAGCAUGCUUACAAUAAAAUGAACCCUCCUCUUUCUCGA